AGUAAAUUGAGUGGCUAAUUGAAAUUAACUUGGGCAUGCGGCUGCUGUUACCACAACUGUUGCAUGCAACAUGGAUGGCGAAAAUCGGAUUAUAUUAAAUGUGGGCGGCAUUAGAUAUGAAACCUAUAAGGCAACGCUCAAGAAAAUACCCGCAACGCGCCUCUCACGUCUGACCGAAGCCUUGGCCAAUUAUGAUCCGGUGCUCAACGAGUAUUUCUUCGAUCGCCAUCCCGGAGUCUUUACGCAAAUACUCAAUUAUUACAGAACUGGUAAGCUGCAUUAUCCGACAGACGUCUGUGGCCCACUGUUUGAGGAGGAGCUAGAGUUUUGGGGACUCGAUUCGAAUCAGGUAGAACCAUGCUGCUGGUCAACUUAUAGCAUACAUCGCGAUACGCAAAACACCUUAGCUAUAUUAGAUAAACUAGAUAUUGAAAAUGAGAAACCCACGGAGGAGCAAAUAGCACGUCUGUUUGGCUUCGAGGAGGCUUUAAGCAACGGCGAGCUUAACUGUUGGCAACGUCUAAAGCCCAAAAUUUGGGCCAUGUUCGAUGAGCCGUCGAGCUCAACGGGCGCCAAGUUUGUUGCUGGCAUGUCGGUAUUCUUUAUAUUUGUUUCUGUGAUAUCAUUCUGCCUGAAAACCCAUCCCGGUUUUCGCGUGGACCUGCCCACCAGCUACAGCGCCGGCCUGCCUGCGUCUGGCCAUGAUCCGCUGGCGCCGCCCAUACCUCAGCAGCCGGUGCAACAGUCCCAGUCGCAGCCGCAUCAUCAUUCGCAGCAGCAGCAGCAGUAUCAAUACCAUCAACAUAGCAUAACGCCACCUAGUGGCAGCAUUGGUCCCACAUUUCGUGUCACGAACUACACGAGCUACAGCAGCGGCAACUUGAGCGCUGCACAGGCCACGCCCAUUGCCACCAUAAAGGGCCAACAGCAACGGCAGCGUCUGAAACGUGACCUAAACACGAGCAGCCUGAACGAGUUCCUUGAGGAUAAGCUACUCGGUCAGAAUGGACGCAGACAGCACGGCUGGAUCGAGACCUACGGCCAGCCGCACAAGGCCUUCUUCUAUGUGGAGCUCGUAUGCAAUGUUUGGUUCUUCAUCGAGGUUGUCAUCAGGCUAAUUGUUUCACCCAAUCUGUGGCAGUUCAUUAAGUCUCCCGUUAACAUUAUCGACUUUACGGCCACGUUGAGCUUCUAUACGGAUGUCAUGCAGCGCAUGGGCGAAUAUACGGGCCUGCUGGAGGCAUUUUCCAUAGUGCGCAUAAUGCGUCUCUUUAAGCUGACACGUCACUCGCCAGGACUACGCAUCCUUAUACACACGUUCAAGGCUUCGGCCAAGGAAUUGACUCUGCUCGUGUUCUUCCUCGUUCUCGGCAUCGUCUUCUUUGCCAGUUUGGCCUAUUAUGCGGAAAAAUUACAGGACAAUCCAGACAACCAAUUCAAGAGCAUACCAUUGGGCUUAUGGUGGGCCAUUGUUACCAUGACCACAGUGGGCUAUGGCGACGUGGCGCCCAAAACGUAUCCGGGCAUGUUUGUGGGCGCACUGUGCGCACUGGCUGGUGUCCUGACCAUAGCACUACCCGUACCUGUUAUCGUUAGCAAUUUCUCCAUGUUCUAUUCGCACACCCAGGCCCGCUCCAAGUUGCCCAAGAAACGCCGCCGAGUGCUGCCCGUGGAGCAGCCGCGUCGCAAACGGGAGCCGCCGGCACCGCAUCGAGGCCGGACCAAUGCCAUUAAACAGACAACGCCGACGGUGCCGGGCGUAGUAGGCGGCCAUACAACUAUACAGGCGCCUACGCCCAUGUUCAAGGAUGCAUUUGGCAGCGCCAAAAUUGCGGACUACUUAAGCGUGCCGGCAGUUCAGAGUCUACAGCCGAGAGCGGCAACCACUGGACAUGAUUUUAUGCUGCCUCUACAGCCGAAACUUGUCGCGCCUCUGGAACGCAAAGAACAGCAUCCUUUGCAGCUGACCGCUCACAACUUGGCCUCGGAUACGCAUCAACUGUACGCCGGCCAUGCCCAUGGGCCCAAAGCAGGCACCGUACUAAAUGUGCCGCCCACCAUCAGCAUGACGCACACACAAAUGCCGCCGGGCAUGGCCAGCAUGGGGCAGCGCACACCGAAUCUCAGCUACCGGGCAACACAUACGCACACGCAUGCGCCCAUCCAGCAGCCCAUACCACAACACUAUCAGCACCUGGGCUCAUCAAGGUCAAGCGGUCUGGAGUCGACCAACUGCAAUAUCCAAAUCUCAGUAGCUGGUGCCGCUGGUGCUGCUUGUACAGAGGAACUGAAGGCGCCCAAAGUUACGCUUCUUGAUGAUCUGAGCGAUGAGGUUAACUCCUCAACGGAUGACUGCGCUGAUUGCUGCCUGGUGGAUGACAGUGAUACGUACGAGGCCAGCAAUAACAAUGGCUCCUGUGCGAAUCAGGAAGUCGAGCAGGAAAGCGCCACUGCCGAGGAUAGCGGUGACAGUUUGGGUGGCAUUUACAUUGGUCCCACCCAUUGAUUUUUGGCCAUUAAAUGGGAAUUUCCAUGCUAGGAAUUUAAUGACACAUAAAGGAAUACAAAAUAGAUUGCAUAUUGCAUUAAAAAGAAAAAACAUUUUUAUUUUGGAUUUUUGUUGACUAUGGGCAGAGCUGCACUAUAUUUGGGUAAACAACAGUUUCGAAGGGUCUAACUACAAAAUGCUUUUUCUCAGUGUAAUUUAUCAGACUACCACAUGCCUGAUUCUCUGGACCAGUCUGCGCAUUCUCACCACACAAUGCCGUGAGUGCCAAGUCAAAUGAAUUUCAUUGGAGAAUCUGAGCACAGAAAGCUCUGCACUGCUUAUAGAACAUAUAGUGCCGGGCCAGGCGAAGCAUCUGCAGCAUUCGAAUUGGAACCUACAUCAACAGCAAAGCGCUUGAAAUUCAAUUCGAAGGCCUUAAACAAUUUGAAGUUAUUAAAAGCAACGCGAAAAGUUUAAUUGGAACUGUUUGUGGCACUGGGGAGCAUAGAGCCACCAAAUAGAUGUGGCAUAGAGAGUGCCCACUACUUGCUGUUGCUAGCAGAUCCGUAGAUGUUUCACUGCGGACUGGCGCUAAGUGUGCGCAAUUGAAGGCAAUUGAGCAAUUUUGUAUGCUCAGAGCGUCAGAAGACGCAUUUGCAUAAAUACAUUUAUUUAAUAUUUAAAUUAGUUUCGUGGCAUUUCAGCCAUGCACUUAUGUAUACAACACCCCCCCACACUCGCCCCCAUGUGCCUGGUCUGCAGCAAUUCAUCCUGCGCCCGCACAUUUUUACUGAUAAUCCCCAUUGACGCCUAAGUAAUUGUCCUUGACGUGAGGCAAAUGCAGCCAUUCAGACAGAGCCAAGUGAAGUAGUAGCUACCGACUGCCAGUUUGGGUUGGCUUAAAGACAAUGAGGCCGGCAUCUGGAUUGGUCCUAAGUAAACCUAAUAUGAACAUCAAAUGCAAAUUGACAAGUUUGUUGGUUCAUUGUCGCGGCGGCUCCUGGCACAGGCAACGAGGCAUCCAUUUUAUUCGGCGCUCUCCUGGGUUGAAGGAUUCUAGGACUCCAAACGAUUUUAAGGACAUUUACGAAUCUAACGAGUCUAUUCCUUCCAGGAUCGGACGUAUUUUAAGCUAGAUAUAGCCAUUUU
rnacentral:misc_RNA from 1 species